UACGAACGGUCCAAACGUUAUUCGGAAUCACUGGGCUUAAAGCGUCCGUAGGCGGCUUUGAAAGCAGGGCGUGAAAUCCCACGGCUCAACCGUGGAACUGCGUUCUGAACUACAGAGCUAGAGGGAGAUAGAGGUAAGCGGAACUGAUGGUGGAGCGGUGAAAUGCGUUGAUAUCAUCAGGAACACCGGAGGCGAAGGCGGCUUACUGGGUCUUUUCUGACGCUGAGGGACGAAAGCUAGGGGAGCGAACGGG
rnacentral:rRNA from 1 species